CCUUCCAGUGCUCCUGAAGACUCCUCACUGCAGAGGAGCAGCAAAUGCAGGACGUCCAGCCUCAAGAUCAGGACAGUCCAGUCAGUCCUUCACAUCUGAGACAUCUGGACUGUGACGAGAUCACGAGGAACGAGAACCUCAUUUGCUGGACGUGUGCCAUCGGUGAGGAGUUGGGGAAGGAGGCUCUGUCUCUGAAGGGACCCGCUGUGAGGACGGCCUUCAGGUGGCUGUGAAAUUCACAGUGAAGACAGAAAUCGAGUCGUACCUCAACCUUCUGACCGUCCCAGUCCAGUUCCUCUAGAGGUGGCUCUGACAGUUACGGCCAAUCAAGGCCCCCGCUGUCUCCACAUCAUAGAGCUGCUGGACUGCAGGAGCAUCCCGACCAGUACAUCAUGGUCUUAGAGCAGCCCUCACCCUGCGUGGACAUCACGGUGAGCUCUUCAGUGAGGAGCUGGUGCUUCAUUUCAUGCAGCAGGUGAUUGACGCUGCGGUCCUUUGUUGUUCCCGGGGGUCUUCCAACGGGAC
ensembl:lncRNA